UACGGGAGGCAGCAGUGGGGAAUAUUGCACAAUGGGCGCAAGCCUGAUGCAGCCAUGCCGCGUGUAUGAAGAAGGCCUUCGGGUUGUAAAGUACUUUCAGUCGUGAGGAAGGUGUUAAGGUUAAUAACCUUAGCAAUUGACGUUAGCGACAGAAGAAGCACCGGCUAACUCCGUGCCAGCAGCCGCGGUAAUACGGAGGGUGCGAGCGUUAAUCGGAAUUACUGGGCGUAAAGGGCACGCAGGCGGUUAAUUAAGUUGGAUGUGAAAUCCCCGGCUUAACCUGGGAAUGGCAUUCAAGACUGGUUAGCUAGAGUCUUGUAGAGGGGGUAGAAUUCCAUGUGUAGCGGUGAAAUGCGUAGAGAUGUGGAGGAAUACCGGUGGCGAAGGCGGCCCCUGGACAAAGACUGACGCUCAUGUGCGAAAGCUGGGGAGCAAACAGGAUUAGAUACC
rnacentral:rRNA from 1 species